rnacentral:piRNA from 1 species
UUCACAGCUACUCUGGUGUUGGUGGG